UACGUAGGGGGCUAGCGUUGUCCGGAAUCAUUGGGCGUAAAGAGCGUGUAGGCGGCCAGAUAGGUCUGCUGUGAAAACUCGAGGCUCAACCUCGAGAUGUCGGCGGAAACCAUUUGGCUAGAGUCCGGAAGAGGAAAGUGGAAUUCCUGGUGUAGCGGUGAAAUGCGCAGAUAUCAGGAAGAACACCCGUGGCGAAGGCGGCUUUCUGGGACGGUACUGACGCUGAGACGCGAAAGCGUGGGGAGCGAACAGG
rnacentral:rRNA from 1 species